CCUCUUCCCUUUUAAAAAUGUCUCAGCAGAGAACUGAGUCCAUUUUGGCUUUAAUGAAAUGUCCUGAAGGAGUCGGGGAGAGAAUGCACUUUCCUUCCGUGAAGAAACACCGCGCAGGAGGAGCGUGGAAGAGAAGGCCCGGACGUUCGAAAGGAGCCGAAACUCAGACGGCCCGUCGGGGAGGACGCGAGAGCCUGCGAAGGAACUUGUGUCCCUGAAGCCUGGUAAAGCUGCAGUGCUGGUUGCCACUCACUUUUCUGAACAGAUUGAAACAGUCAUUAAAAAACUUCAGAGAAGGUCUCCAUGUAAAUCAAGAAUUGCUGCAAAUAUCUCCAUGUGUCACAGAGCCGUUCUCUGAGCCGUUGUGUCCAUUUAGCCCCAACUGGGUUACAGAGAUGC